rnacentral:rRNA from 1 species
UUGAACGCUGGCGGCAGGCCUAACCCCUGCAAGUCGAACGGUAACAGGAAGCAGCUUGCUGCUUUGCUGACGAGUGGCGGACGGGUGAGUAAUGUCUGGGAAACUGCCCGAUGGAGGGGGAUAACUACUGGAAACGGUAGCUAAUACCGCAUAACGUCGCAAGACCAAAGAGGGGGACCUUAGGGCCUCUUGCCAUCGGAUGUGCCCAGAUGGGAUUAGCUAGUAGGUGGGGUAACGGCUCACCUAGGCGACGAUCCCUAGCUGGUCUGAGAGGAUGACCAGCCACACUGGAACUGAGACACGGCCCAGACUCCUACGGGAGGCAGCAGUGGGGAAUAUUGCACAAUGGGCGCAAGCCUGAUGCAGCCAUGCCGCGUGUAUGAAGAAGGCCUUCGGGUUGUAAAGUACUUUCAGCGGGGAGGAAGGGAGUAAAGUUAAUACCUUUGCUCAUUGACGUUACCCGCAGAAGAAGCACCGGCUAACUCCGUG